rnacentral:lncRNA from 1 species
UUGGGAUAAAACUCCGGGCGUGACAUAUACUCCAUCUCUUUUAGCUGACUAACCACCUCAAUCUUCUUUUGCAGGCUUCCUUGGCUACCCUAACUGUUAGCAGCAACGGGAAGCCGAUUGAGUACUCCACAUCAGCUAUUCCAACCCUUGGUCAUGGAGUUCCUUCACCCUCAGAGUACAACAAAAACUUUUCCAGACCACCAAGUCCUCCAAGCCGGCUGAAGAGGAAGAAGAGAGUCGGCAAAACCGUCAAGAAGAAUAUUAAAAUUGAUGGUAUUGCAGUACCUGUGGUUCCCUCGUCGCCUAAACUUGAUGCGGCCAAUGACGCUGCAGCUGAUGAGAACUCUGAAGAUGAUGUAGACCAGUAGGUGACGGCUCCCCCAACUUCGUCAACCACCACGACGACCGAUGUAGCCCCCAGAACGACCACCAAACAGAAGAUGAUAGCCCAUCGGCCCUAUCUUCGGCAACCUUCCUCUUCUAAGGUAGUUUUUGACAAAGCUUCUUUUCUCUACAUGUUUUCUAAUACUUACUUUGGCUUCUUGACAGCCUUCUGUAGCACCUGUGACUACAGAUGCACCACCUCCAUCAGCCGACCCUACCCUUAAGCUGACGGUUGUUGCCGAGAAAGUCAUUGCAUCGGCCACCACAGCGCCUAUCACCGCAUCGGACGAUCCUCCUGCAACUGCUCUGUCUACAUAGGUAAGUUUUCUCAACCGACUUGUAUACCGUCCAGGUUAACUAUGUUUGGAUCUAACUCUUCAUUAUCGUGUUGCAGUCAUUUGCGGACUUCUUUGCGUUCGACAUCGGUCAAUGCCUUGACCCUAUCGAAGCCGAUGUCAGUGCUUCUGCCUCCAUGCCAGACAACCUCGAAGGACAAUGUACUGAUAUACUAGCAAGGCUAGACUACCCCAUCGACACCCUAAUCGAUGAUUCUGGUCCGAUCAGGUCAAGAAUCGAAGAGAUACAAGACCAACUACUUGACGACCUGAUUGACGCCAUUAUACCAGCUGACUACAUCGAGUCUCAUCGGCUUCCCGUGCUUCGAGCUCGUCAACGGAUUGCCGACUGGGCUUCACAGAUGUCAUGCCUAGAAAUUUACACCAAUUUCUGAACAAUAGUAUGUAUUAAAUCUCGGUCCAGGAAUCAGCCCGAGUACACACUAUGAUAAAUUAAUACACAGUUCCACGACUUAAAAACAAAUAAAAAUAAUUAUCUAUCGAAGUGCAGCGGAAAAGGAAAACAAGACUAAAGCAUCUAAUCUUUAGUUUCAGCUGGCGAUGACGGCUCCAUACCACAGGUAUUCUUGAUUGUGGACUAAACUCACUUCAACCUUGGAAACAACCUUCUGAUUGAAACUCUGGCACUUGAUCUAGUGGGGAAAAUUAAGUAAGGCUGAGUACAAACCACUAUACUCAACAAGUAACACCCAAGAGAGGGAGAAUAAUGAAUGCAAUAGGAUAACAAGGAUAGGAUAACGUUAAAUUGCACAAAGCAGCAUUUAUCUAGCAAAGCAGUAAAUAAAAUAGACUGAUUAAAAGUAAAGUAAAGAGUUAAAAUAACCAUCCACUGUCCAAUGUUACACCAUGUUGCAACAGGCCCAAACCACUGUUGAACGUUACACCACGUAGCGACAGGGUCAACCCUCUGCCCAACAUUACAUCACGUUGCGACAGACCCAAAUCACUGCCACCGUUACACCACGUUUACAGGGUCAAACCAGUUCCAAGUUCAUUAGGUUAUUAAAAGGUUCACUAAUCCCAGUGAAUCUGUCAGUUCGCCCCAUAACCGCGGACACGACAAUUCGAAUAAUUUUACUCUGUAGAGAUGUACAACUUUACCCACAAGACACAGUUCCACUAAAUUUGAACGUGCGUCGUUGUAUCACCACGAUACCACGAAAGGAAACUGUGAUAGGACCCGUCAUAUAACUCUCCCUAUUUAAUCACACCGCACUUCAGGUUUCACCCCCUCCUUUAAACCAAGUCGGGCAGUCCCCACUUGUGCCUUGGUAGAUCCGGAAGCAGCAGAGGCUUUCGUUACACCACGAUUGCCCGUCCAUACUCCAUCACGACCACCCUUGCCUUGGUACGUCAAAUAGUUCGAAGCUACGUUUCAAAUCCCAUCUUACCAAUUUCGGCUUGUGGUUAGUGCGGGUAAGACUUACAAGGUUUCCCGAGAACCGGUCCUUAAUUGCCAUGGGCGUGACUGUCAAAACUGUGCACCCACAGCCCACCAUAAGCAAUAUUUUAGUUGUAUUUAAUCCACAACAGGGAAUUAAUCAUGAUCACAACCAUUAAAGGUCUAUCGAGUCUAGUAGUAAAUAAAUGAUAAUUGGUGAGCUAGUUGAACUAUGCCAGGCUAAGCAUUGCCUAAGCCUAUUUCUAGUCAAAUUAACCCUGGGACAACAAUAAUAAUAAAUAGAAAACAACAGAUAUAAAGGUAAUAGCCCAAUAGAUAAAUAAUAAGGUAAAGUAAAUUUGUAUAAAGUAAUGCAUGUUUGAAUGUAAAAGUGGGGAAUUUUGUAAAAAUAGGUUCAGUAUAAUCAAAGGGGGUGCCACUUGCCUUGCUCUGACCCACGAGGAACUUCGGCAACGACUUUAAGAACGGACGAUGCUUCGACGGGCAAAAAGCAGGCUAGAAAACUAC